rnacentral:pre_miRNA from 9 species
UCUCGAUAGCGUAAAAGUUAACUCAGAUUUGUAGGGAGUUGGAACGUUCGCCUACGUUUGCCGCUAGGGGCGCUAUUUCAACUGCAUACAGAGUUACUUUUACGUUAUCGA